GAGGCAUCAGGGCAGCGGAGUGCCCGCAACCUUGUCACGGUUGAGAUCAGGGGUUCGAGUCCCCUAUGCCUCA
rnacentral:tRNA from 1 species